GAUGAACGCUGGCGGCGGGCCUAAUACAUGCAAGUCGAGCGAACGGACGAGAAGCUUGCUUCUCUGAUGUUAGCGGCGGACGGGUGAGUAACACGUGGAUAACCUACCUAUAAGACUGGGAUAACUUCGGGAAACCGUAGCUAAUACCGGAUAAUAUUUUGAACCGCAUGGUUCAAAAGUGAAAGACGGUCUUUCUGUCACUUAUAGAUGGAUCCGCGCUGCAUUAGCUAGUUGGUAAGGUAACGGCUUACCAAGGCAACGAUGCAUAGCCGACCUGAGAGGGUGAUCGGCCACACUGGAACUGAGACACGGUCCAGACUCCUACGGGAGGCAGCAGUAGGGAAUCUUCCGCAAUGGGAGAAAGCCUGACGGAGCAACGCCGCGUGAGUGAUGAAGGUCUUCGGAUCGUAAAACUCUGUUAUUAGGGAAGAACAUAUGUGUAAGUAACUGUGCACAUCUUGACGGUACCUAAUCAGAAAGCCACGGCUAACUACGUG
rnacentral:rRNA from 1 species